rnacentral:rRNA from 1 species
UACGUAGGGGGCAAGCGUUGUCCGGAAUCAUUGGGCGUAAAGCGCGUGUAGGCGGCUUGGUAAGUCUGCUCUGAAAGCCCGGGGCUCAACCCCGGGAGGCGGGUGGAUACUGUCAAGCUCGAGUCCGGAAGAGGAGUGUGGAAUUCCUGGUGUAGCGGUGAAAUGCGCAGAUAUCGGGAGGAACACCGGUGGCGAAGGCGGUUCUCUGGGCCUUACCUGACGCUGAGGAGCGAAAGCGUGGGGAGCGAACAGG